UUCACAAACUUUUGAUGAAAAACCAAAUGAUGAUUUUCAUAACAUUUCAGUUCAAAACUAAUUCACUGAUUCAAUCCCAGGUUUUUUUGUAUAGAGUUCUCCUCUUCUCCCUGUGUGUGUGUGUGUGUGUGGGGGGGGUUCUCCAGGUUUUCCAUUUUCCUCCAUAGUCCAAUAAUGUGCAGAUAGGAGUUAAGGUUAAUAGUCACUCUAAGAUGUAGAUAGGUGUGAAUCUUUUUUGUCUCUUUAUGUGGCCCUGUGAUGGGCAGAUGAACUUGGAUUGGCUCCAGAGACCCAGAAAAUUAUUAGGCACUAGAAAAUGGGUGGACAUUUUCCGUACUUUUAUUUUCAAUGUCAACCACAAACCAAAGCCUGAAUUAUAUUGAUACUUGAACUGCAGCUUUAGUGCAGCUUUUAUGGUUACUUUUAAAAAUCACGUGACUUAAGGAUGAGUUGGGCUCUAUAUCCAUGAAAUGCAGUAAUUAGUAAACAUCUUAAUGUUUUUAUAGGUCUGGUACUGCUGCAAAACUGUUUCACUGGGUUUCUAUUGUUGAAGCAUGUCACACUGUUCAAACAUACUCUUUAUGCUUGACUUGAGGAAAGUAUUUUAAAUACUGUAUUUUAUAUACUGUUACUGUUGUAGCUUUUCACAUAAAGCAUGUUAUUUAACUUAAUUGCGAUAUGUACAGUUUUUAGACGAUGGAACACACUGCUCUUUAUUAACAUUAACAGUUGACGUCUAUUCUUCAUAUUAGCAAGGUUUGUCAGUAUUUCCGAAUGGCUUGUGGUCAAAUGUGAAAUGAUGCCCCCUGGUGGUUGCUUGUGGUAUUACACAAUUUGAAGGUCCCCACGCGGCACAAAUACCAGAAAAAAAAUGAUACAAAAUUUAGAAACCUUGGUGAGCACUAUGCUCACCCUGUUGUAAAAAAAUUAAAAAGCAUUUCUGUCCUAAAACGAGCUUUCUACGUCUAUGUAAAUUUGGUGUCCUCACGAGUAGAGUGUGUAUCCGAGGAAAAGCAAAGUCCCCACGCUCCAUGAAAACGUGUGUGUGUAACAACUGUUGUGAUAAAGGAAUCAAGUGGAUUAAUUAGAAGGGAUGAGGCCCAGAGGGCUGUGGUGAGGUGACUGCAUCCCUGCCAAAUUUUAGAGGUUUAACAGCAUAUUAGGAAAAGAUGCAUCACACCACAGCAUUCAUUUAUUGAGGAAUUAAUUUACAAAGAAGGUUUAAAUGCAAUCAGGGCACAUAGACUUGACACUGAUGUUAAUAAUACCAAACAGACUCAGAGUUAGCAAGGUGAGGCAAGGGCAGUGGAGUAUAUUUCAGAGAUGUAACACAUGAAAACAUUUUUCUCACACUGAGAUGACUAGGGCGUGCUGCUGUCAGACUUUUGAACAACAACAAAAAACAGCCGGGAUCAUCAUGGACGUGAGGCUCUUAUGCCUCUAUUUUCUCCCCAUGGGGAUGGAAAUGGAGUUCUCCGAAAGAUAACAGCUGCGCACAUCUGUUAACAAGGGUGUUUCAGAUCCGAAACAAAACCUGUGUUCAUCUGGAGACACGUGCAUACAAAUUGAAGGUGGAAGCACAUUAACUCCCCAAUCAUCAUCAAUAAGCAUCAGAGAAAACAUAGACACGAGGAGGAUUGCAGCUCGCAAUUCUAGAUGGCAGGGAAGUCCUGAUUCCACCCUCCCACAAUUCUGCAGGGUUGGACCCAGCAGUGGAACUCAGCCAGGGCCAGACCUCACUUCUCAUUACGGUUCGUUUGAAUCUCCACUUGGCUUUUUCUCUGUGCCUUUUAUUUCUGCCUGGUUGAUUGCCUUAGUGACUGACUUUGAGGUCAGUCAGGGUUAAUUUGCUGACAUCAGUCCUUUUUCUACCUGGGUGUUUGGAACAGAUUUUGUGAUUAUUGCAGUUACUUGACCUAAUGGACCUUCAGACUCUCUUCACAUCGUAAUUAAAAAUGUACAAAUAACAAUAGAAAAUACUCAUUGAUAUGUCUAUGAUUAAAUAUCCUUAUGAGAAUAUUCUUAAUUACAAUCAUCAUGACUUUAAUAACUGGAGUUACUCCCAACAUGUUUUUUGUGUCCAUUGUAAUUACGGACAGUGAUUUGACCAAAAUGUUUAAUCAACUUUUAAUGAAAACAGAAUCACUGCUGGUAAAAGUUAAUUAAUUAAAGUGAAACCGUGAAAACUGAUGGCCUGUGGGAUCCAUAAGUGUAAGACGGAGCUCAAUCAUUUUCAACUGGCAGAUUAUUAAUCACGCCUUCUUUGGUUCUUUUAUGUUUUUCUUCCACUCAGGUCUGUUUGCUUUGAUUUGCUGAAUAGCUUCAGUGUUCGUUGUAUUAGAUUAACCUUCAGAACAUUUUUUAUUAUUUUGUGAAACAGUAUUGUUUGGUGCAACUAUGUAUUUGAUGGCGCCUCUUGUGGCUGACUAUUUUUGUUGCAGUGUAAAUUUCCCCAUUGUUGGAUGAAUAAGGGACUCAAUAACCAGCAUACCAAAGGUAUAACCAGUAAUAUGUGCAAUAUCUUCACUCCCAAGUGCAAUAUUGCACACUUCUUGAUUGUAAUAUGUAAAAUGGUUUGAUUUUGUCUUUGACUAAUUAUUAUCUGCAUUCGUUAAUUUAUUAUUAUAUUGUGGCAGGCACUGAGGGGCAUGCCUAUCACCCAGUAGGGUUAUGGGUAAAGGGGCGUGUUAAGUGCCCAUAGAAUUUGGCGCUCAGCGCCAUGUUCACUCUCUGUUCCUGUCGUCACGGACUAAUAAAGACAUAUAGAGCACCUGCGCCUCAGAGUCAUCCUUCAACUGCCACAACAUCAACUUUUUAUUCUUGGACUGCCAUAUGUCAACAUAAUUAAACCAGCAAAAUUUACGGACAGUAUAAUGUUAAAAACCGCAAGCUGACUAUGAUUCUCUUUAUUUUAUUUCUGUAACACUACUGUAAACUUCAUUCUUUAUACCUUGUACUACACUUUGCUGUCAACACUGUGAAUUUCCCCAUUGUGGGACAAAUGAAGGACUUCUUAAUCUUAAUCUUUAUGAAUGUAAAGUAAGCCUACGAGUGUCACAUCAACUAACACCAUUUUACUCAACAUCAAUGUUCUAAUGAGUUUUCACCUUUCACGUUUCAGUGGACGUGUCUGAGGCGUUUCAUCUAUGCUGCUGAGCGGCUGAUCCACUGUCAGCCACUGAUUUUCAUCAAGGAGAUUCAGGACGCGUGGCAGAUAGAAAGACCGCAAAAUUGAAAAGGGGUGUCAAACAUGCAGCCCGCGGGCGAAAACCAGCCCGCUAAGGAGUUCAUCCCGCUUGAUAAAUUUUGAAAGCAAAAAAAGCACAAACACUUCAUGUUCAUGAUGUUUUGUAAAAUGAUAUUUCAUUAAAUAUGAAGAUUUGAAAAUGAAGACUUGUAGUACUUUGCAUAAAAAAGGGGAAAAAAUGGGCUUAUUAUUAUUUAUACGUAUACCGGUAGGUGUACUGUAUGUCCAGACCACUUGACAUCUAAUUAGGCUGAACCAAAAUGAGUUUGACACCUUUGCUGUAAAAAUGAUAACUGAAAAUAUUGAAGUACCUAAUACU